UAUUCAUAGACUGUCUUGUUAGCGACCAGAUUCCCGUCAAGUCAUCACUGUGAACAGAGCAGUGGUCAGUAACGGACCUUUGCUUGUGAGUAAAUGGCAAGGCUUUCAGUGGUAGCUAAUGGGGACGUUGCUGAUACCGACGUAAGUGAUGGUGUGGUCUGAACACAGCACAGCCCACCUGACCUUCAGAUAUAUAGGUAUCUAGUUUACAAUCUCUGUUACUGAAGAGAUGCGAUACGUGGCAUUAACUCAUUACAGACUUUUGUUGUUUUUAAACAUCUACAUAAGUAAUAAUUUCCCAAGACACUAUGCUAACCUUGUUUUGGCAUAUAUGGAGUUAGAAAUAAAUUUCGCCCUAGUAAUACUAGUUUAUCUCCAGACAUCACUUGAGCCUUUGUGGAUGAACAUGGCAGACAGCAGAAAUUGAGCAAAGAGAUUACAAUGCACCUAAUAAUGGCCAUUUGAGAACACUUUGUUAGAUCCAGAAUCCAUUCAAGAGAUUGUGGUCAGUUUAUUAUGAUCAUUAACAGGGAUUUUGCUGAUAUACAGUGUAUUCAGGUAAGAAAUGAUCGUGGCUCAAGCAAAUCAAGUAAGCAUUGCCUGGUUAGUGUAAGAAUUUAAACAUAAUGUGUGUUUAACUUCAGUAAAUGAUGAAUGUGUAGGUAAAGUCCUCCUAUCGCACACCAUGGCAUUGAUCAUGAGAGUUGAUAUUAGUGAAUCUAGCAAUGGUCAUGAGCAGGACCCUGGUGGAACCAAGGUGAGUGAUACUGUGGCUCUUACACCAAAAUUAGACCAAUUCAUCUUCCAAUGUCAAGGGAAGUGAAGGUGGCAUCCCAAAAACACAGUGUUGCCAAGUUCCUCCCAUACAUCUCUGAAGGUGUUUGCUAGUGUAAAGGUAUGAGAGGAUGUCCACUCACAUCACUAAAUCCUAUUUCUACAUAUGGACGUUUUAAUGAUGUAUUGAAGACAUUUAUAUUAACCUUAUUUUUGGUUGGCAUGAUUUUAAUUUGUCCUUUACAAUACUAGUAAGCAUGAGAUUUUACUGUAUUUUUAUUCAGAGAACUUCCUACUGAUGAAAGGAUGUGCAGGCAUACAGGUACUUCUUCAAUGAAAGGUGGUGUCUCUUACUACAGGUUAGUUUUGGACUUCUGACACCAAAGCAUAGGCCAUCUGCUCUCCAGAUAUCUGAAUAAGUAAUGAUGGUGUCCCUAAAAUUUCUUAUUACGAUAAUUUUUUGUAGGUACUGAGGUGAGAAGUGAUGUAACUCUUACCCAUAGUAGAAGCAAUGAAUUUUUAAUUGUUUAUUUAGAGAAAAUUUAUAGCCCUGUUCAUGUUGGAGGAUUGCAGUAUAUAGGUAAUUGUCAUGAAGUUCAUACUCCAGUAGUGACCAUAGACUUCAGCAGAUGUUUAGUCAAGAAAGGGUAGUCUCCUAACAGUGGUGUUGACCUGAUUUAAUGCAUGUAUCUAGGUUGAGUUGAUGUGUUCCAUAAGAGUGAAGUGAACAAGAUGAGGUUCAAGUAUACUGGAGAACAGUUUGAGUUUUCAAGCUCAUUCAGUUGCAUGUGGUAUUCUGGUUCCUGUCAAAGGAACACAGUGGACAGUGGUUGUCAGUGGGCCCCUUACUAGUAACAAGGUAAGUGAUAAAAAAGGUAAGUGAUAGCCAUGGUGCAGGCCAUUGAAUCUUCACCAUCUAGGUGAGGGCGCGUGGUGUCCUUACACUUGUGUUACCUUGUCAUUUGCAGGUGUCGUGGGAAUUUGCAAGUGCCCUGAUAAAAUUUCCAUUGAACUCAAUUUCCACAAUUUUUUUUCAGGUUCAUUUGAAGACAUCAUGGCAAUUCUGUCAAAGGUAGUCAGUGAAAUACGUAGCAGGUGUUAAGGUAAGUGAUGAUGUGGUUGCAGCCACAGCACGGAGCAUAUGGUCUUCGUACAUGUGGAUAAGGGAUGACACUGUCUCUAAGACUUGUGUUGCCAUAUUUGUUUGCAAGUGUCCCCUCCAGUCUUUGGAAGUACACAGGUAUGAGAUGAUGUGAUAUUAACUCAUUAAACUAUUAUUUUCAGAUUUCUAUGUAACUAUUGUUUUCAAGAUUCAUACUUACCUUGUUUUGGCAUGUUUAAGCUCAUUUGUCCUUAUAAUACUAACAAGCCUGAGUUUUUGCCAUGUUCUUGUGUAGAUAAUGUGUGUUUCUCUCUCAUAGCAGUAGACAUAUUGCAAGGACCCAGGUAGUUUAUCAUAUUGCCCUAACUGCAUGACUUUAACCAUGGGAUAUUUGCAGGUUUACCUUCAAGAGAGGAAGGUGUAUCUUAUUUGGGUUAACUUCAGAGUUCUGCAAGUAUCCAGAUAAUAUUGAUGGGUGCCAAAAUAAUAUAGUACCAAGGGAGUUUGCAGAUAUGCAGAUAGAAUGAGACCUGUACCAAGCACAUUUUCCACAAAUGUUUUUCAGGGCAUGCCAGGAGAUCACAGUGAGCCUGGUUAUGGCAAUGAAUGAGAGAUGUUGCUGGUGUGAAGCAACAUCUUCAGUGUAGGACUACGGGCCUACACUGUGACACAGACUGCCUGACCUUCAGAUAUACAGGUAAGUGAUGGUGGUGUCCCUGACACUUCUUGUUACCAUGAUUCUGUGACAGGUAUUCAGGUAAGAAAUGGUAGGGUCCUUAGAGACCAUGAGUUUUUACUUUUUGUAUUUCAGAGGAAAAUGGAUGUUUAACCCUAUGAGUAAAGGAUUGCAUAAGCAUAGGUAUUUUAUGGUUUUCCUUACCACAGUACUACCCAUAGGAUGUUUGCAGAUGUCCCAUGUCCCAUGGUUAUCUGACAUUGGUCUUGAUCUUAGAUUACUGUAAGUAUCCAGAUAAACUUGAUGUCUUUCAUAAUGACGAUGCAACCAAUGUCAUUUGCAGGUGUCCUGGUAGAACAAGUUGUAUCCUUUAACAUAUGUUUCAUGCUGUCUUUUUCAUGUUCCUGUCAAGAGAUCACAGUGAACCUAACGUUGGUCACACUGGGGGUUGUUGCUGGUGUGCAGGUGAGUGGUGAUGUGGGCCUAAACUGUGGCACAGGCCAGCCAAUCUCCGAGUAACUGGGAAGUGAUGACAGUGCCCCUGACUUGUAUUAGCAUGAUUUCUUUCCAGGCAUUCAGGUAAGAAAUAAUAGAUUCCUCACCAGUUUUAGAAACCGUGAAUUUAAUUUUCAUGUUUUAAAGAAAAUUUUUGUUUUUCCCUGUGAAUGUUGAGUAAUUUUAUCAAGGUAAUUAACACGUUUCCAACCGUAGUUUUGUCCAUGGAAAAUCUGAAGAUGUCUUCUUAAGAAAUGUGUUAUCUGACAGUGGUCCUGACCUAGGAUAGUAAAGGCACUGAAGGUUAUUCGCAUGUGUCCUAGUAUAGGACAAGUUGUCCUUUUACACAUAUAUCAUAAUAUGUUUUGCAGGUUCAUGUCAAGAGACCAUGGUAACUGUAACAGACUGUUAGCAGAGGCAUUUCUGGUACUCAGGUGAGCACUCGAGAGAUAAUGAUGUCUCUGACAGUGGCCUAGUCUUCAGAGUACUGCAAGAUUCCAGGUAGAGUCGAUGACGGGUCCUGCAGUGAUGAUAGCGUGGCAGUGAACAGGUUAUUUUCAGGAUCACAACAACAAAGUUGUGUCCAUAGACACAUUUGUUACCAUGUGUUUUUCAGGUUGCUGUUAAGAGAUCAUGUUAAACUUCAUAAUGAUAAUUAAAGGGAUUUUUGUUUGUUUCCAUGUAAAUGAUGAUGUAGCCUUUUGCCAGCUACCUACCAUCUGAAAUUCAGAUAGCUUGACGGACAGAGAAGCUUUAGAAGAAACACCUAGAAAAACAGUGUCUCCACAUUCACAGCGCAGGAACACCGAGGAGACAGCAUUGCGCUUCCUGACCUGACGGUGUGAUUUCACCCAGGAUCCCAGCCUUCAAGAAGAGUACUCCCCUGAAGUCUGCCUUCCCUUUGCCUUUCCUGCCUAACUACAUCUCCAGAAUACUAUGAGGUGAACGUGUCAUCCGUGUGGUCCAUCCUUUGCGGGCGCCAGGAGCCUAGGUUACUUCUGGGACAUUCCUGAUCCAGUAUAAAUCUAUUAAAGUAAAUCUUUCAGAAGUGAAAAAUGCUUAUUACAAACCGUCGUGCAUGGCGCGCAGGGACGGGAGGUGGCCAAACAGAUUUUCAGAUGGUCACAUCUGGCGAGAGCGGGAUACAGACGGUUCAUUGGCACAAGCACUGUACGUCCUUCUUCGGUCUACUGAAAACAUGGGUCCAUGGAGGAGUAGUCGGCUCAGGACCUCAGAUGAGGAUAUAAGAACAAAAAUAAACAAAAAUCAAGGAGAAACAGGCAAGAAAUGAGUACUUUGAAAGACAGCUCAACAGGAGAAAAUCUAGCACCUCAUGCAUUUCCACAGACCUGUGAACUGUUUAAUGUUCAGAUUUGCAAACCUGAUAAUUGGGCAUAAGUAAAAUCUCCUAACACUUAGCUCUGCCAUCUGUUGCUGACAUAACAAUUUUACAUAAUAUGAAAAAUGCCAGAUGGAAGCUACGCAUUAACUAUGUCCAAGAUAUUUUAUGUUCACGUCGUACACAGAAUAGGAGAAAUAGCUUUUGUUCCAUACGCCGUCAAACUUGGAGUUCUCCAGGAGCAAUUCUGGCCCUUGCUGGAGAAGGACAACUUCAGAGCCUCCUAAUCACUUAACGUCCCUUGGUGUUUGGAAAGUGGCACGCACCGGUGGCCCCAGGAUGUCUCUCCAGGGCAGACUCGGAAGCCACAAUUUGGUUAGAGCCCAGGACUGAGAAGGGGAAGGUGUGCAUAAUUGAAACAACAGCAAAUACACAGUGUUUAAGCUCAUGAUUCAUGUUACGGUAAAUAAGAACAGUAAAGGCUUCUAAAGAUGUUUUAAUUUUUACUAUAUCUAAGUGAGGAAAUACCAGUUCCAUAUCAUCUCAUAGGAUAAGGAAUAGCUGUUGUUUGGAGCAAAGGUAUUGGAAAAUGUUCUAAGGGAGAUAAGAUUCCUACCAUAAAGUUUUCCCAGGUGAAAGGACUUUAUAAAACAAGGCAACAAUGUCCCCAUUUUUGUGCUUCAAACAUAUUCAUAUAGAAAGUGACAGAAUAGACAGCCACGUGCUCGCACUCGUAUCUGCUGCAUUGACAGUGUGUGUUAACCUGACUUUCCCACCUUCCUCUCGCUGUAGUGA